AGAAUCUUCAUAGUAUAAUCUUCCCUGCCUCUCAGCUGUGAACCACCCUCUAAUGCCUGCAGACAGUGAAAACAAUCCAAACUGGAAAUUUGCCUGGGCUGGGUUGUGUGGUAGUGAGACUACACUGAGGGCAGGGUGAGACGGAGCCAGGACAUCACUUGCUUCAGCUGUAUCAGAAGCCAUGCGUCGGAUGAGGGGGACUUGGGACCACCAGGACCCUU
rnacentral:lncRNA from 10 species